GAAAGAGAACUGAUACUACUAAGACCUUGAGUUAUUUUAUUGCUAAAAGAACCUUUAUCAAAGUAGUAGAGAUCAUCAAGCAACCUAGCACUCCCAAUCAUCCUCCCCGAAUCCUGAAAAAUACAAUGAGAUUCAAAGAAUGUAACAUAAAAAUUAGAAUAUUUGGAAAAUUUAGAAACGGAUAAAAGAGUACAGGCUAAUUUUGGAACAUGUAAGAUAGAUUGGAGAGAAAUAUUUUUGGUCAAUUUAAUAGUUCCUUUUCCUACAACAGUAGAAAAACUACCAUCAACAUUUCUAAUUUUCUCAUUGCAAUAUAUUGAAGAGUAUGAAUUAAAAGAAGACGAAGAACUAGUCAUGUGAUCUGAAGCUCUAGAACCAAUAAUCCAUGGGGAUGAAUUACUACACGAGAAUGUCUUGUCUUGGGAUCUGUGUGAGUCAAAGAAACACAUGAAUUAUUAUAUAAAAAAUUGGUGGUUGACAGUUGUAGGAUUUGAUGAAUUUGCUCUCAUAACAUGGUAGAAGAUUUAGCAAAUAGUAGAAAUCCACCCAAAAAAUAUAGAGUUUUUUUAAAACCAAAUCCAACAGAAGCAACCCAAACCAAGAGUGGACCAAACCAGAAUUUGAAUCAACCAAAAAUAAAAUCAGAUCACAGGUGAACCAAACCAAAUGAACCAGAUUUUAAAUAAACCAGUAGACCAAGCCAGACCAAAUGCUGAACCAAUUGUUGGAAGAGGAACAGGCUGGUGCACUGGGUGGUGGCUAGCAGUGUCGAAUUGGCAACCUGAACGAAACAAAACCCAACGACGGGAUGGACGAUGGCGACGCUUGGACAGGACUCAACCCGACGACGAUUGGCGGCGCUUGAGCAAUGGCUGAAAGUGCAGACGAGCGCUAAUAGCGGUGGACUAGCGUGUGAAACCUGAGAGAGAAAGAGAUGAACGGUAGCGCCUCGAGCUAACCCGUGCGACAACGGCGGCAUCAGGCAACUAAAGUUGGAGGCGCGCGUCUUCCUUCAAGCAGCGACUAGGGUUGAUUUUGCAUGAAAGGCAACACGCGAUUGGGGGGAGGAGGCUGCACAUCGUGAACCGAGGGAAAGAAGGAUUUUUUCCCUUUUUUUUUUUUUUUUUUUAAGUUUAGGUUUAAAAGAAAAAAAUUAGGGUUUUUAAGAUUUCCCUUGCUUUGAUACCAUGUAGAAGUUGGAGGUAUAGAAAUAUUAAUCUCCUUUUUCUCUUAUUCAAUAUGUGCAGGUUAGAUCUUCUUAUAUAGGAGAAAGACUUUUUACAAAUAUGGAAAGAAUAAAGACAAAUAACGAAAAAAAUAUUCGUAUACAAAUAUAGAAAUUCCUACACUUUUGUAUGCAUAGGUUCCUUUUUCUCUUAAGGAUUCCCUUUUUUGUAUUACUCAUUUGUACUCUUUCAUUUUCUUAAAUAGAACUUUGGUUUCCGGAAAAGUAAUGUCACACCAUCCACAGACACACGUGAGAAUUUUUUUAGUUAUAACUGUAAAUUAUAUAUUUAAUUACAACAUCCCUAGGCUCACUUCAGGAAUUUCUUAGUUAUAACUGAAAUUAUAUGUAUAAUCACAACAUUGCUUACAUCAUAAAAUUUCUACUUGUAUAGAACCCCAUGCCUAACAUUUAACAACCUAUUCAUUUUACUUAUUCUUUAGAGCCCCCUUCCUCAGUCCUCCCUCGCAGUCUUCCUAUGAUAUCUAUAAAUAACAUAGGGAACCUAUUAUCGUUUUAUCUUUUAUGCGAAGAAAAGGAAGUUGGUUGAUAAAUAAACCCAACACUGUAAAACUAUUUGUUCCUCUUUUGCCCCCAUGUCAGCUCACCAUACGUCUCCCCAGCAUUUAAAUACUGCCUUUGUGUUUUUAAAGCUUAAGCAGUUUACACUCUCACAUCCAUGUUGCAUAACUAUAUAAGUGUGCUUUUAUGCGUGCACAAGAGGCAGUCUGUUGGCGUUGUUCUUCUAGCCUUCUAACUAUUACAGGAAGCUGAACCCUAGUUAAGUCUCGUAGCAUUCUAAUGGUAGAAGAAAUAGGCGCCUCUUAUCAACCAAUGAUACUUAAGUGAGAUGUCAUUUUAUGUUGAGGCUCAAGUCUAAAAACAUGUUAUUUUAUUUUAUUUUGUGCAAAAAGACUACCUAAUAGCCUACAAUUGAGUUAAUGUUUUAUUUCAGAGAAUUGGUUGCAUUUCUCCUACAUUAGUUGGUAAUUAAGAAAGAAUAUGAUAUAGGAAAGUGAAUAAUGGAGAUAAUUGCAUGAAUAUAGGAAUAGGGCCUUCCUUGCCCACCAAUUCACCAGGAAUGAUCAAACAAUUAUGUAAGAGUGUCCUUGAAAUAAGACUUUGAAGCGAGCUAUACUUGAAAGAUUGAGCUCAAAAACUGAAGUUGGAUAAUAUGCAUGUUUAGGUUGCAAUCUGUCCAAUUAACUAGAGAACCAAACUAAUUAAGAACACCUAUAGCAAAAGGAUUUUGACGUGGUCCAGGAAAUAAUUAUUUAUACUCUGCACCUUCACAAUUUAUUAGCCAUCUCCCUGCACCUUUCGUUAAUAUACAUUUGUGUUUUGAAUCAUUAUUUGCUUCAACUUCAAACAAACAUCCUAAUUGAUUAUGUGCAUCUGUAGGUUCCUUUCACCACGUUUAACCUGACGCAGCAUAAUACUUUCUCUGGGAACUCAGUGCCUCUGUGGUUGAUGCCUCCGGCCAAUACCGGAGCACUUGGUAGCAUCGCUUGUUCUUUAAAUGUUCCUCAAGGAUCAGGAUGUCGGGCAGUUGAUAUUGUCAAAGGUUAAAUGGAAGAGGCACAAUUGAUGGUAAAUAUUGCUAUUGAGGUCUCGUUGAGCAAGAACGAUGGUGAAGAUCCUCUUACAACGGUUUGUGGUGCCUUGCAUUCUUUUGAUAAUCAGAAUUCAUCGUUUGAGAUUCAAAAACCUUUAAGCAUGUCCCAAGAUAUGAACGAUAGCCUAGGAGCCCACUUUAAUCAGUUCUACUGGUCUAAACACAUUUCCACUGGUGAUCUAUCUAGUUCGAGAUCGAGACAUUCCGAUAGAGAUUAUGGAGGAAUUCCUUCAAAUCUUAUCACUUCAUGUGUUGCUACUUUGCUCAUGAUACAGGGUUUUGUGGAGGUGUGAGUUUACACUUUUGCUCACAGCCGCCAUCUUUGGUUCGUUCGCCGCCGUUAGCCGCCGGAAAAAAAGGUAGUUUUUCGACACCGCCCAGUCCGUCGAGGAGCCCAGCCGCUGGAAAAAGGUAAUAGAGUGUUUGAUGUUUGUAAGACUAUAUCAACCUGAUCAAGGAGAAAAAUCUCUUACAAGCUACUGUAUGGAGGUUAAAAAUACAUGUGCGGAAUUCAAUGCCUUGAUGCCAAUCAGCACGGAUCCAAAAGUUCUAAUGGCCCAACGUGAAAAGUUGUUUAUCAUGAGUUUUUUAGUAGUAGGUCUUGCACCUAAAUAUGAGAUGGCCAAAGAUCAAGUGUUGUCAAGCUCAAAUAUCUCAUUGUUGGAAGAAGCUUACACUCGAAUACUUCGUAUUGAGAAGACACAAGCAGUUACAUCAUUUGAUUCUAGUAGUGCUUUGAUUGGGUGCACAAAUGAUGAUAGAAAGGGGGUUGAAUCAAAUAGCUCCAAAGGUCAUCCCAAUAACCAAAGAUCAAAUCCAUGAGGUGUUGUUUGCUAUUAUUGUCAUAAACCUGGUCAUAUGAAACGUGAAUGCAGAAGAUUGAUGAAUAAGGGUUAGAGGAUGUCAUCACCCUCUGCACAUGUCGCCUCUACUCCUGAUAAUAUUGACAAGUCAAUUACAAUUUUUGCAGAGGAGUUUGCUAAAUUUCAGCAGUAUCAAGACUCAUUGAGGGCAUCAUCUUCUACUCCCAUUACGGCGUCUAUGCCUUCUUUCCUCCACGUCAAAAUGGGUCAUUGACUCUGGUGCUACAGACCAUAUGACAGGAUCUUACGACGAAGCUGACUACUGGUAAAGGGUGUGAAUUUGGAGGUCUUUACAUCUUUGAACCACAAACACCUACGACCAUCACAUGCUCAAGUGUGUCGUCUCUCUUUGAAGAGAAUUGUCGUUUGGGUCAUCCGUCUAUCUCUGUGUUGAAGAGUCUUCGUCCACAACUUCAACAUUUGUCUUCUUUAGAUUGUGAGUUGUCAGUUUGCUAAAUUUCAUCGUUUGAGUUUGUAUCCUCGAGUCAAUAAACGAGUUAGUGCUCCUUUUGAAUUAGCCUAUUCUGGUGUUUGGGGUCUAUAUCCUGUUGAGUCCAAAGGAGGGUUUAGGUAUUUUGUUACAUUUGUCGAUGACUAUUCUCGUGUUACGUGGUUAUAUUUAAUGAAAAGUUGUUAUGAGUUACUUUCUCA